rnacentral:rRNA from 1 species
UAGGGAAUCUUCGGCAAUGGGGGGAACCCUGACCGAGCAACGCCGCGUGAGUGAAGAAGGUUUUCGGAUCGUAAAGCUCUGUUGUUAAGGAAGAACGAGUGUGAGAAUGGAAAGUUCAUGCUGUGACGGUACUUAACCAGAAAGGGACGGCUAACUACGUGCCAGCAGCCGCGGUAAUACGUAGGUCCCGAGCGUUGUCCGGAUUUAUUGGGCGUAAAGCGAGCGCAGGCGGUUAGAAAAGUCUGAAGUGAAAGGCAGUGGCUCAACCAUUGUAGGCUUUGGAAACUGUUUAACUUGAGUGCAGAAGGGGAGAGUGGAAUUCCAUGUGUAGCGGUGAAUGCGUAGAUAUAUGGAGGAACACCGGUGGCGAAAGCGGCUCUCUGGUCUGUAACUGACGCUGAGGCUCGAAAGCGUGGGGAGCGAACAGG